CUUUGGAAGUUUAUUGAGCCCAGAAAAGCAGAUGAGGCUCUCCCAGCAUCAGCUUGGACAUCACCUGAUGAAGCCUCACAUCAUAAAGGCUACAUAGAACUCUUUAACGCCCUGAUGAUGGGAGAUGGCAGAUGGUUCCCCAGCAGUAACUUUCCAAAUUGUCCAUUACCAACAAAGCCAUCAGGAAAAUUGAAGCAUGUGACACAAUUAUACAGGAGAGGACCUGCAUCACGUUACUGAUGGGAAUACCUCAAGCACUUCCGUGCCUUCUGGAUAUGGUUGACAGCAUUGCACAAGUGUGACUGAGUUCCUGAGGAGCAAGUGAAAUGACUUGGAUGCCAGGAGCAUUUUGCUGGGGCAACAACUGGAACAAAACUUUGGUGAAUUUGGAUGGAGAACGCUUUGACAUCUAUUACAGGCUGCCGGCGCUGCCUCCUCCCUGGCUUCCUACUUCACACUGA
rnacentral:lncRNA from 14 species